AAGUCGUAACAAGGUUUCCGUAGGUGAACCUGCGGAAGGAUCAUUACCAAUUAUGACCAUUUUAUGGUUAUUAGUGCUUUUGACUUUUAGUCAUUGCAUAAACGCUUUUAUUGUUAUUUCUUCGUGACACUUAUAAUCAUAUACAACUUUUAACAAUGGAUCUCUUGGCUCUU
rnacentral:misc_RNA from 1 species